rfam:Pyronema omphalodes CBS 100304, CBS100304, WGS project CATG01000000 data, contig: Pcon_v1_contig639
GCCCUCGUAGUGUAGUGGUAACACAUCUCACUUUUAACAGACCUAGUACUAGCCGUUGAUGGCAGGAACAGCCCUGGCUUAGAUCAGGGAAGAUCGCUGGUUCAACCCCAGCCGCGGGCA